ACUGAGACACGGCCCAGUCUCCUCCGGAAGGCAGCAGCUAAGAAUAGUCCGCAAUGGGGGAACCCCUGACGGUGCGUGCCGCGUGAACGAUGAAGGCCUGACGGUUGUAAAGUUCUUUUCUCGCCGAAGAAUAAGGACAGGAGUGGAACGCCUGUCCGAUGCCGUUAAUCGAGGAAUAAGCCCCGGCUUAAUACGUGCCAGCAGCCGCGGUAAUACGUAUGGGGCGAGCGUUGUUCGGAAUUAUUGGGCGUAAAGGGCGCGUAGGCGGUUUCNCAAGCCUGAUGUGAAAGGCUCCGGCUCAACCGGAGUUGUGCGUUGGGAACUGCGUGACUGGAGUUCUGGAGGGGAAGUUGGAAUUCCUGGUGUAGGGGUGAAAUCUGUAGAUAUCAGGAAGACCACCGGUGGCGAAGGCGAGCUUCUGGCCAGAAACUGACGCUGAGGCGCGAAAGCGUGGGGAGCGAACAGGAUUAGAUACCCUGGUAGUC
rnacentral:rRNA from 1 species